AUUAAAAUUUAAAAAUCAAAUUGUCAGUUAUCUCAAAUUCGGAAACCAUAAUCGUAGUUUAGCCAUGUAUCUGUUAUCUCAUGCUAACUACUCCAUGCUAAAUUUGUCCGUGGAUUGGGUAGGAUUUUGAUAAUUGAUAUACUAUACCUAUACCAAAGAAAUGGAUAGGAAAAAAAUAUAUAUGCCCUAUACAUUUAACUUCGGAUCGGCUCCGGAUCUAGAUACUUAAGUUAAUAAUAUACAUGUUGGGUCUAUUUGAGCGGGUCUGGAUAGUGACUAUCCAUAUACUACCCACUUAAGACCAAGUAUGGAUUGGAUACAGGUCGGGUCUAGAUCGAGUAUAGAUACCGGCUCAUAUGCAUAUAUUUUUUAUAGACUUUAUUAAAUCGUCUAUAGACAAAUCAUAAAUUUCUCACUACAAAAAACUCGCAUUCUAAUUAGUUGCAUCUAGUCCAAUAAAAUUCACUCAAAAGAAAGAUUCAAAUAGUAAACAGCUAGAAUAAAAAAAGAGUAAAAUAAAAAAAAGAAAUAAACAGAGCUGCUAGGAUUUUCUCUAGAAUGAAAAUAUACAGAGAUUCUUCAUCUAUAAGUUCUAUUGAAAUUGAUUUUUCAACUUCUAUUUUUUUAUUUACAAUCGGGUAUCUCACGGAACCCAGAUCCGCAUCCGGAUCCGAUUCUAAAUCCAGAUUUGGAAACUCUUCCGGACCCAUUAAAAGAUUAGGUUCGAAUCGGGUCCAAGUCAGAUACGAAGAUAAAGUAUUCUAAUCCAUACCCGAAAUUUUUUAAUAAAUAAUUUUAUUUAUCUGUAUACUAUUCUUUUUUAUUGGUCCAAUUCGGAUCUGAGUAAAAUUCGAUCGGAUGUUAAAUAUCGAAUAUUUUAAACAGCUCUACUCCGUGCUUUAUCUGACACGAAUCUACCGAUUGAGACAAAACACAUAAAAACCAAAACAUUAAACAGGUAAAAGUGUUAAAUGGACUAACCACGCGCGGAGAUAAAAUAAAAAAAUAAAAAGAGAGAGAGAAAGAGAGAGAGAGAGUGAAUGUUGUUCUCUUGCCUUUUUCUCCGUCAAAAAGAAUCAAAUUUUUUCUACGUAACUAGUGCUCACUUUUCGACUUUUUCUCUGUAAUUUUUUUUUUUCUUUUUCCGUUCAAAGCCCUCUUUUUUUCUUUUUUUAUUUUUUUUGGGUUCUUCAAUCAAUUUGUCCCGCGUACUUCUCGUGUUCUGUACGCAUCUUACGACUAAGGUGCGAGGAUCAUUAUUAUUAUUAUUAAUUAAUAAGAGUUAGGCGAUUCUUUGAUUGCUUUUUGUGCUGCACACAUUGCGGAAGUAGCUCUCCAUCAAUAUUAUGUCAUUAGUCCAAAUGAUAGUGACAACUACCAGAUUAGUGGUUUGUUGCUGGAACCCAUUUACUGCAUUCACAUUAAGCAUUUCUGAGUUGCGCUGAAUAUACAGAUAAAUAUCUCGUUCUGCAAAAUAUGAUCUACAUUAUGUUUUAAGUAUAUAUCAAAAAUUUAGAUGUAGUACAUUUUUUACAUUAUUUACUUAGUGAUUGAAAGGUUAAUUUUGAAUUGGCAAUUCUAAUGACACACGAACAGUUUGAAGUCAAAUGGCGUAAAUAAAUGAAAAAUAAGUUUCGAUAGAAAAAUUGUAUUCAUCAUCUAGUGUAAGAGCAACAAGUUUGAUUGAAACUUUAGUGUUGUAUCAUCGUUUUAAAAGAGAUUUUUAUUUUCUUUCAUUUACUUUAAGGUCGCUGGAUAUUAAGAUAGAUGAUAUGAAAAGUUAUAAAAUUUGAAGCAUGAGGAUACAAAAUACUCUAUAUUAAGUCUAAAAAAAAGUAGAUCA
rnacentral:lncRNA from 1 species